CAGCCGUAAGCUAUGCUCGCUAGGUGUCAGGCAUGGCGCGACCGUGUCUGGUGCCGCGGGAAGCCGUGAAGCGAGCCACCUGGGAAGUACGGCCGCAAGGCUGAAACUUAAAGGAAUUGGCGGGGGAGCACAACAACGGGUGGAGCCUGCGGUUUAAUUGGACUCAACGCCGGACAACUCACCGGGGACGACAGCAAUAUGUAGGCCAGGCUGAAGACCUUGCCUGAAUCGCUGAGAGGAGGUGCAUGGCGUAGACGUCU
rnacentral:rRNA from 1 species